AGAAGGGAUUGUUUAUGAGGGUCAAGGAGCUGGAGGCCUGGGGAGGAGCUGGUGUUUCUGUUCAAGUUUGAGGGUCCUGGAGCUGGAGCCCAGGGGAGGAGCCAGUGCUGCCACUGAUGUCUUAGGGUCGUGGAGCUGAAGAUCCCAGAGGAGCCGGUGCUGCUAUUCUAGCUUGAGUUUCGUGGAGCUGGAGACCCAGGGAGAAGAUGGUGCUGCUGUUCUAAUUUAAGGAUCGUGAAACAGAAGACCCAGAAAGGAGCUGGUGCUGCCGCUGCUCAGAUCUGAGGGUGUUGGAGCUGGAGCCUGGGGGUGGAGCCAUUGCUGCCAUUGAAGUGUGAGAGUCAUUGAGCUGGAAGUCCAGGAAGCAGCUGGUGCUGCUGUUCUAGUUUGAGGGUUGUGGAGUGCAGACCCAGGCAGGAGCAACAUUGCUGUAGUUCGAGGGUCAGAAAGCUGGCGACCCAGGGAGGAGAGGUCUUGUUCUAGUUUGAUUUUCGUGGAGCUGCAGACCCAGGCAGGAGCAAUGUUGCUGUAGUUCGAGGGUCCGGUAGCUGGCAACCCGGGGAGGAGAAGUCUUGUUCGAGUUUGAGGGUCGUGGAGCUGCAGACCCAGGGAGGAGCAAUUUUGUUGUAAUUCAAGGGUCCGGUAGCUGGCAACCCAGGGAAGAGAAGUGUUGUUGGAGUUUGAGGGUCGUGGAGCUGCCGACCCAGGGAGGAGCAGUUUGGUUGUAAUUCGAGGGUCAGGAAGCUGGCGACCCAGGGGAGGAGAGGUCUUCUUCUGGUCUGAGGGUCGUGGAGCUGCAGACCCAGGGAGGAGCAAUGUUGUUGUAAUUCGAGGGUCUGGUAGCUGGCAACCUGGGGAGGAGAAGUCUUGUUCGAGUUUGAGGCUGGUGGAGCUGCUGAUCAGGGAGGAGCAAUUUUGUUGUAGUUCGAGGGUCAGGAAGCUGGUGACCCAGGGAGGAGAGGUCUUGUUCUGGUCUGAGGGUCCUGGAGCUACAGACCCAGGGAGGAGCAAUGUUGUUGUAAUUUGAGGGUUCGGUAGCUGGCACCCUGGGGAGGAGAAGUCUUGUUCUAGUUUGAGGGUGGUGGAGCUGCAGAGCCAGGGAGGAGCAGUGUUGUUGUAGUUUGAGGGUCAUGGAGGUACAGACCCAGGGAGGAGCCGUGUUGUUUUGAGUGUCGUGGAGCCGGAGAUCCACGGAGGAGCUGG
rnacentral:lncRNA from 1 species